UCCCUCCGCAUUCUUUCGGUUGUUGUUGUUGUUUUUUUUAACGAUCAGUCAUAAAAAAAAAAAAAAAGUAUAUUAGGCAUAAACAACUUGACUUAUAGGACGCACGUAUAUUAUACUCGUAUAUACGUCGCAUAGUCGCAGAAAAGACAUUUUUUUAUUAUUAUUAUUAUUAUUAUUAUUAUUAUAUAGUCAUUGUUCGAACGGUCUGAUAAGGCAAAUAUAUUAUAUUAACAUAUGCAAACAAGUGAAUGUAAUUUAUUUUGUUUUUUAAGUCGUGUUUUCGUACAUGGCAGGUACCUACCAAAGUGGUAUUAUAAGUAUGGCGUACGCCUAACACUCGUGGUACAACACGUGUCGGCAGCCGUAUCUGUUAAUAUUUUACGGCGUAUCUAAAGUAUUGAAAUUGAAUUCCAACGCAAAAAAAAAAUAAUAAUAAUAAUAAUUUAAAAAAAAAGACUAACAAUAUAUAGAUAGCGGUACAUCUAAUGUGUAUUUCAUCAUUCGGUAAAUAGGUUUUAAGUACCUACAGGUACUCAGUAUAGUAGGGCCCGGAUUUAUAUGCAUUAUAGAAAAAAAAAACUAUCGGAAAAUGCUCUAAAUCGAUCCGAAAAUGAUUUUAAAAUGUGGAAAACAGUAAAAAAUACAUAAUAAAAAUGUUGUUAGGUUUCACAGUUUCAUAUAAAUAGAACGCCAUUGACAAUCCGCGAUAUACAACAUACCUA